CAGGGUAUAGCUCAGUGGUAGAGUGCGUGCUUAGCAUGUAGGAGGUCCUGGGUUCAAUCCCAGAUAUCUUCA
rnacentral:tRNA from 1 species